UACGGGGGGGGCAAGCGUUGUUCGGAAUUACUGGGCGUAAAGGGCUCGUAGGUGGCCAACUAAGUCAGACGUGAAAUCCCUCGGCUUAACCGGGGAACUGCGUCUGAUACUGGAUGGCUUGAGUAUGGGAGAGGAUAGGGGAAUUCCUGGUGUAGCGGUGAAAUGCGUAGAUAUCAGGAGGAACACCGGUGGCGAAGGCGCCUAUCUGGCCCAAUACUGACGCUGAGGCGCGAAAGCUAGGGGAGCAAACGGG
rnacentral:rRNA from 1 species